CAAUAGCGUAUAUUAAAGUUGUUGCAGUUAAAAAGCUCGUAGUUGGAUUUCGGGGCAGCCUGGCUGGUUCGCCGCAAGGCGAGUACUGGUCAGCCGCCCUUCCUCUCGAAAGCCCCGACUGCUCUUCGUUGCAGUGGUCGGGUAGUUCGGGACGUUUACUUUGAAAAAAUUAGAGUGUUCAAGGCAGGCCUACGCCUGAAUACAUUAGCAUGGAAUAAUGGAAGAGGACCUCGGUCCUAUUUUGUUGGUUUCCAGGGCCGAAGUAAUGAUUAAGAGGGACAGUUGGGGGCAUUCGUAUUUAAUUGUCAGAGGUGAAAUUCUCGGAUUUAUGAAAGACGAACAACUGCGAAAGCAUUUGCCAAGGAUGUUUUCAUUAA
rnacentral:rRNA from 1 species